GGAGAGGUGGCUCAGAGGUUAAGAGCACUGCCUGCUGCUCUUCCAGAGGUCCUGAGUUCAAUUCUCAGCAACNACA
rnacentral:tRNA from 1 species